rnacentral:rRNA from 1 species
AAGUCGUAACAAGGUUUCCGUAGGUGAACCUGCGGAAGGAUCAUUAUUGUAAAACAGAGGGGGUGUCUUCCUCCCUGCUCCGGCUUUGCGGCUGUGAGCGGGUGGUCGCGCUCCUUUCCACAACCAAACCCCUGUGCACAUCUCUGGGGACUUCUGGUGGGUUUGCGCCUGCCGAGUCCCUGGCUUUACACAAACUCUUCUAUGUAUUUAGAAUGUUCAAGGACCUCGCGUCCUGUUAACAAAUAACAACUUUCAACAACGGAUCUCUUGGCUCUCGCAUCGAUGAAGAACGCAGCGAAAUGCGAUAAGUAAUGUGAAUUGCAGAAUUCAGUGAAUCAUCGAAUCUUUGAACGCACCUUGCGCCCUUUGGUAUUCCGAUGGGCAUGCCUGUUUGAGUGUCUUGAAAUCAUCAAACCCCCGGUUUUGCGAUCGCGGGGCUUGGACUUGGGGGCUCUGCUGCCGCGAGGCGGCUCCCCUUAAAUGCAUCGGUCGGGCCUACUGGGGCUCCGUCACCUGGGCGUUGUAUUACCCUCGCUCUGCCGACGUGCCACAGCUUUGCGUGCCCGACCCCGACCUGCCUCUGGAGCGGCGGUCAACACUCUUUGAGAUCUGACCUCAAAUCAGGUAGGACUACCCGCUGAACUUAAGCAUAUCAAUAAGCGGAGGNAAAGNAACUAACAAGGAUUCCCCUAGUAACUGCGAGUGAAGCGGGANAAGCUCAAAUUUGAAAUCUGGCGGUUCCACCGUCCGAGUUGUAUUCUGGAGAAGUGCUUUCCGUGCUGGACCGUGUACAAGUCCCUUGGAACAGGGCGUCAUAGAGGGUGAGAAUCCCGUCUUUGACACGGACUACCAGUGCUCUGUGAUGCGCUCUCGAAGAGUCGAGUUGUUUGGGAAUGCAGCUCAAAAUGGGUGGUAAAUUCCAUCUAAAGCUAAAUAUUGGCGAGAGACCGAUAGCGAACAAGUACCGUGAGGGAAAGAAGAAAAGCACUUUGGAAAGAGAGUAAAACAGUACGUGAAAUUGUUGAAAGGGAAACGCUUGAAGUCAGUCGCGUCGUCUGGAACUCAGCCUUGCUUCUGCUUGGUGCACUUUCCAGUUUGACGGGCCAGCAUCGGUUUCUGAGCCGGACAAACGUGGGGGGAAGGUGGCAGCUCCGGCUGUGUUAUAGCCCCUCAACGCACAACGGCUCUUGGGACCGAGGAAUCCGGCGCUUGCGCAUGGGAUGCUGGCGUAAUGGCUCUAAGCGACC